CUCGGCGCCGGCGAUGGAGUUCGCCGUCAACCGUCCCCUGCCAUUCAGUGGACUGAUGACUCCUGGAACCCU
rnacentral:ncRNA from 2 species